UUUUGAAAUUUGUCUACUUAUCAUGAAAAUAUAAAUUUAUAUCAAUUCAAAUGACUCCUAAUGCUAUUAGGCCCCUAUAAAUGUUGAUAUUCUGGAAAUUUUUCACGCUAUGUUUGUUAUGUGACAAUUGUUGUUUGAUACUGCAUACAUGCAUACUAACUCUAGAAAUUUGCGGUCCACCGGAGGAUGCCUUAGAAAGAGAUAAUUAAAAUAUUCAUGAGGUGCAGUUAACUACGAUUUUUCCCAGAUAAUUGUUUAUAUAUUUAUGGUGGAUAUAGUAUAAAAGAACACGAUCUGUAUUAUUCGAGAAUAAUUGUCUUCUAGGUUGAACAUUUUACAAUAUGCUGAAGCUAUACGUUCUCAUCAUCGUUGCCGCUAUGUUAGGGACUGUCCUCUGUGAAGCUGAUAGAGGGUAUAGCCAUGGAGGCCAUAGAGGAUAUGGAGGUGGUCAUGGUCAUGGUCAUGGUCAUGGAGGCGGCUAUGGAAGUAGCCACGGUCAUGGAGGUGGUCAUGGUCAUGGAGGUCAUAGAGGUGGUCACGGUCAUGGUUGGCAUGGAUAAAGUUUAAAUUCAUGAACGAUUUGAUUUGACAAUAGAACUUGUUGAGAUUCUUCAAUAUAAAUAUAUAAUAAUAAUAAUAAUAUAAUAAUGAUAAUAAUAUAAUAAUAAUAAUAUAAUAAUAAGAGAGUUUAUUCAUGAAAAUACAUUCAAUAAACUCUAUAAUACUGUA